GCAUUGCUGAAGAGUCUCACAAUGAGGCGAAACGGCCGUCCAAUGC
rnacentral:hammerhead_ribozyme from 1 species